UUUCAUGGCUGCAGUCAUCAUCUGCAGUGAUUUUGGAGCCAAAGAAAAUACGAGCCCACCUAUGAAUGGCUACAAAAAAAGAAGAGAGUAACACACCCCUUUCCAAAGGCUGGCUCUUCCUGAAGAUAUUUUGCAAGACUGAAGACCCUCUUUACUUCCUCACUGCCUCUCCCUCUCUAGUCUGCCUUUUGACUUGAAUUCCUCCUUCUUCCCUCUCUUUGGCUCUAUAAAAGAACCUGGCAUCCAGAUCCCAACAAGAUGGUUGCUUUGAGGCGCUAGUCUGCCACCACCUUGGUCAGCUGAUUUUCCUAAUGAAGUCGUUUUCCUGGCCUCCACACCUGUCUCUCGGAUUCAUUUGUCUGUCGUGCAGCGAGCAGAGCAAGCUUGGACUUGGUAACAAAACCAAGGUGUCAGCAGAGAUAAGACUCUCGGGGGUUCUAGGGGAGAAUCCAUUCCUGUUUCUUCUGACCUCUGCAGCCUUCUUCGGUUGUGGCCGCGUCCCUCCAAUGUCUGCCCCUGCGGUCACAUUGCCUUCUCUUCUGUGUGCGUCAAGUCUCCCUCUUAUAAGGACUCGUGUGAUUGCAUGUGGGGCCCACGAGGACAACCAGUGUAAUCUCCCCACCUCAAGACCCUUAAUGACACCAGCAAAAUUCUCCUGCCUCCUUUUUUCUCUGUAUAAGGUGGCACUCACAAGUUCUAGGUGUAGAAAGUGGAAAUCUUCUGGGGGCCAUGGUUCAGCCUACCAUGCUCACCAAGGGGAUAGAAACCCACCCAAGGCUGAGCAGGCCCUCACUGAGCAGUGUGGUUGUGGGGCAGGGAAGGAUGCAUACGUCCCUGAACACUACGAAUUCAGGGAAAGUGUCACAGAGGUCUCUGGCUCAUGGGGGAGCCCUCAUGCCCACAUUUGGGGGUUAUAUUACUAUGAACAGGUGAGAACCAGGUGUAACCACCACCUGUCACCCUCAGAGUCUGUGCUUUCAGCAGACCCACACUCGCCUCCCCAGAGCAGGUUCUCAACCUGAAUCUCAGGUGGCAUGACAGGUUCGGGAAAGGCAUCCCUUCCUCUGGGGUGUCUCUGUGGGGAACUCCAUCUUUUUCUGAUUGAGAUCAGUCAUCCUUCCCUUGCACGCCCACAGCCUGGUAAGUGAGGGGCAGGGGAAGUGGCAGACAAGGGUGUAGUGAUCACUUGGAAAGGUCAGAUGCCAGAUAAAGAAAGGUCAGAUAAGGAAGAAGCUGCACCAAGCUGUCAGGCUCAAAGUUGCGGCGAGUUUUGCUUUUUCUGAUCCCCAGGACCUGCAGAUUCUGCUGCUACCCUCUGUCCCCAAAGAGAUGAUGAAAAAGAAAGGCUGUAAGAAAAUAGUGCUGAAGAAUUGAUACUUUUGAACUGUGGUGUUGGAGAAGACUCUUG
rnacentral:lncRNA from 1 species